AGCUUCUGUAGAUGGCAGGUCCUUUCAGUCUUGUCUAAGCAGGAAAUCUCCGCAGGGCUGGGCUGGUUUCAAUACUUCUUGUUAAGUUUAUAGAUCAGCCUGAGAAGGCAGAAGCAAUUCAUGGACUUCAUGGAAAGAAGCAAGAAUAGCCCCCUUGUCCUCGAUUUCUCCAUGAAGUCACCAAGAAUUGAGUUUGACCCAGGAGAAGAGAGAAGGAGAGUAGUGAAGAAGUUCUGACUCCAGAAGACGGUGAAAAUGUCUAUCAUCUGGUUUACUCAGCUCAUUGGCCAGUGGCUGUAGCAGCAGGAGAAUUUCUUUAUGGUUGCAAGGACCCGGAUUCUGAUAUUUCAUAGCACCUAUCCCUGAUGAAGGAAAUCCAUCUCUGCUUACUUCUCCCCAGUCAGCUCUGUCCGUACAGAAAGGAAAUUAGCAUACUGUGGUUCAAACUCUGGAGUACAGCUAUUAACUCAGUCCCAUCCUUACGACUGAACCGCCAGAUUCUUGCAGUCCAGAAGAAACCAAAAAUAAUCAUAAUGCCACUCAACAGGAAUGAAGAGGCAGCACUAUAGCCAACAUAAAUAGCAGCACCAACCUUCUAGUGCUUUGGAACCGUAGACAUUUGCAAGGACUAAGGAAACAUAAUGGCUGAAUUAACCAAGAUGGAACUAUGAUGGAAGACCAUGAUCCCUGAUAAAAAAUAGGUUUCCAACGUUAUACAAGGUCAAAACAUUGCAUGUUUUGCAUCAGCCACCAAACAUUAGAGAAUAUGGUACGAAGAAAGUCAGCAUGGCAUGAAUCCUGGUGUGGUAUGGAUCGGAAUCUGGACAGUCUGUUAUCUGCACAGCACCAAUCCAGAAAACAGAUACGCUCACUGUGAGGAAUUCAUUGAAGGCCUGAAGAUGAUUCCGAAAGAAAUAUUUUGCACUCAAGAUUUGAUGCCUUUGAGUUGCACUGUAGGAACUGUGGCCAUACAUUUCAGAAGCUUUGCCUUAGGGGUUUGUUGUCAAAGCCAUCAGACAAAGAAAAAAAAAAUCUUGUUUAGUGUUCACCUGCUGAACUUUGUAGCAGGAAUCAUGGUCCCAAUUCCAAUUUUCUGGCACACUUAUUCCAUCUUGGAUAACAGAGACAUUCGGUUUCCUGAGUCUUUCCAAAUGCCUACUUUUCCAGAGCAUUAAUCCAGAAACCAGAUACCACCAUUGUGGGAGAUUCAUAGAAUGCAGGAAGAUGUCCCCCCGCCUCCAAUUUCUUUGGCUGAAGAUCUAAUGACCUUGGUAAGUCACUUGGGGGCCCCUGGGGAUUUGCUUUAUGGCCUUCUUCUUAUGCACGACUGCCAAAGACAAGACAGAGAAACGCUUUGCUCACCCUUUUUAAUCUUGGAGGUUUUAUGAGCUUUUUAUCAGGACUACUAGUCCUCGUUCCAAUUUCCUGGAACUUGUAUUCCAUCUUAAUGAAGACUGAUUAGAUUUCCUUGGGCUUUCCACAUGCCUGCACUUCCCAAGGAGCAGGAGG